rnacentral:misc_RNA from 1 species
UCGCGAGGGGACCCCAUAUAAGAGGUGUUUACCGGUUACUUGUCCACUUCCAUUGGCUCUUUGCCUCUUGGUCUUUCUACACAAGUGCAUUGUACGGCUUGCCCAGGCUAACAACAAGUUCUGAUAAGAAAUGGACAAGACGAUCAUCGCCCUCAUCUUUCUCUCAAUUCUUGUCUGCGAGAUGUUGCUGACGUCAGCAGCGCCCACACGUCAUCAUAAACAUCACAAACGUCACGCUGCAGAGAAACACUCAAACAGAAUAUCAAAGCACGCAGAAAGACACCACAGGUUACACAAAAGAGACGUUACAGAUCUAACAGCGGUAGACCCCAACACUCCCCGUUCCCGAGUAAAGAGGCAUCACCUUCGACGGAGAAGCACCAUGCCUUUUAUGGUGGUUUCGAUAACCUUAAACAAGCCGACUAAACAGCAACGCCAGCGCCUAAACAGAGGAGCUAUUAUUGCUGAAAUGUAAACCGACACGGAGAAUCUCAAGGCUAUGACGUCACCUUAAUCAACAUUCCAUUUCAUUCCAUUCUCAUCGACUGAAAAACAUGUCAAGCAUAUCAAUAGUGUGACGUCACACUACGCCGUCGAGUCAAGAAGAGGUACGAAAGGGGCGCACAUGAUCUUGGUGUCAUUGAGGUAUAAAAAGAACUGGCAAGUUUAAAAAAUGUGUGGACUACGCCAUUCGGCGUAAACUGUGCGUCCCUGAAGAAAAGGGUGCGUGUCUUUUUGUUUCUUACCAACUUCUAGUCAAACAGUUGGAAGAUAUUCUUUCAAGCGAUUCCAUGAUCUCAUCUCUUUGUGGGCAACUUAAAGCGCUGUAUUGCCAGGGACGUUCGUAGGUGAGUCCCUGUUGCAGAUACACAUGUACAUACAGACUGGGCGGCUAUAUGCUGCCAAGCAUAAUCGGUUUGAAAACGUCAACUGCGCUCUUUCGAAACGUGACAAGAACGUAACUGCGAAAUGAAAAGCCUACAGUAAGCCGCCCAUGAAAGGGUGACUUGAAAUUAAAUAUACAUAAACUGUUCGAUCUGAAAGUUACAACUUUGCGACGGUUAUCGUCAAUGGGCACCAGCGUAGAAAAUGAGUUAAAGACAAAUGUACGGUCUUUUAAAGGAGGAACUCUUACGAUUAACUUAUUGUAAGAAUGAGCUGCAUUUAAGAAUCUCGAUUUCGAAUAAACGAAAACGGGAACGCCUUAUAAAUAAAUUGUAAUUUUUUAAA